GGAGGGAUGGCCGAGUGGUUAAAGGCAGCAGACUGUAAAUCUGCCCGUGUAUGCGUACGUAGGUUCGAAUCCUACUCCCUCCACCA
rnacentral:tRNA from 2 species